GACGAACGCUGGCGGCGUGCCUAAUACAUGCAAGUCGAACGCAGUGGGGACGGGUGAGUAACACGUGGGUAACCUCCCAUCAGACGGGAUAACCCUUGGCAACAGGUGCUAAACUGAUACGCCUUUCUCGACCCGCGCGGCAUUAGCUAGUCGGUGAGGUAACGGCUAACCAAGGCCACGAUGCAUAGGCGAGCUGAGAGGGUGAUCGGCCACACUGGGACUGAGACACGGCCCAGACUCCUACGGGAGGCAGCAGUAGGGAAUCUUCGGCAAUGGACGAAAGUCUGACCGAGCAAGGCCGCGUGAGUGAAGAAGGUUUUCGGAUCGUAAAGCACUGUUGUUAGAGAAGCGGUAACUAAAGAGAAAGCAACGGCUAACUACGUGCCAGCAGCCGCGGUAAUUG
rnacentral:rRNA from 1 species